rnacentral:rRNA from 1 species
AACGAACGCUGGCGGCAGGCCUAACACAUGCAAGUCGAGCGAGGACUUCGGUUCUAGCGGCGGACGGGUGAGUAACGCGUGGGAAUGUGCCCUUCUCUACGGAAUAGCCCUGGGAAACUGGGAGUAAUACCGUAUACGCCCUAUUGGGGAAAGAUUUAUCGGAGAAGGAUCAGCCCGCGUUGGAUUAGGUAGUUGGUGGGGUAAUGGCCUACCAAGCCGACGAUCCAUAGCUGGUUUGAGAGGAUGAUCAGCCACACUGGGACUGAGACACGGCCCAGACUCCUACGGGAGGCAGCAGUGGGGAAUCUUAGACAAGGGGGGCAACCCUGAUCGAGCCAUGCCGCGUGAGUGAUGAAGGCCUUAGGGUUGUAAAGCUCUUUCAGCUGGGAAGAUAAUGACGGUACCGGCAGAAGAAGCCCCGGCUAACUCCGUG